GAUGAACGCUGGCGGCGUGCCUAAUACAUGCAAGUCGAGCGAACAGACGAGGAGCUUGCUCCUCUGACGUUAGCGGCGGACGGGUGAGUAACACGUGGAUAACCUACUUCUAUGUCUUGGAUGACUUCGGGAAACCGGAGAUAAUAACGGAUAACAUGUUGAACCGCAGGGUUCAACGGUGCAACGCGGUCUUGCUGUCUCUAUUAGCUGAUGUCGCAUUAGCUAGUUGGCGUGGUAAAGGCUUACCAAGGCAACGAUGCGUAGCUGGUCUGAGAGGAUGAUCGGCCACACUGGAACUGAGACACGGUCCAGACUCCUACGGGAGGCAGCAGUAGGGAAUAUUCCGCAAUGGGCGCAAGCCUGACGCAGCCACACCGCGUGAGUGAAGAAGGUCUUCGGAUCGUAAAACUCUGUUAUUAGGAAAGAACAACUGUGUAAGUAUCUCUGCCCGUCUUGACGGUACCUAAUCAGAAAGCCCCGGCUAACUACGUG
rnacentral:rRNA from 1 species